CCUACGGGGUGCAGCAGUGGGGAAUAUUGGACAAUGGGGGGAACCCUGAUCCAGCGACGCCGCGUGAGUGAAGAAGUAUUUCGGUAUGUAAAGCUCUAUCAGCAGGGAAGAAAGAAAUGACGGUACCUGACUAAGAAGCCCCGGCUAACUACGUGCCAGCAGCCGCGGUAAUACGGAGGGGGCAAGCGUUAUCCGGAUUUACUGGGUGUAAAGGGAGCGUAGACGGCGAUGCAAGUCUGAAGUGAAAGGCGGGGGCCCAACCCCCGGACUGCUUUGGAAACUGUAUGGCUUGAGUGCAGGAGAGGUCAGAGGAAUUCCUAGUGUAGCGGUGAAAUGCGUAGAUAUUAGGAAGAACACCAGUGGCGAAGGCGGCUUACUGGACUGUAACUGACGUUGAGGCUCGAAAGCGUGGGGAGCAAACAGGAUUAGAUACCCCUGUAGUC
rnacentral:rRNA from 1 species